UGUUUACCUAAACACGAACACAAAUAAGAGCAACAUAAUUUUACAGUAAAUCAAACAUUUCUGGGUUAUACAGUGCAAGCCAUAAAAAUGCAGACGAUGUCAGUGGGUAACGUUAAAGCCGUUGCACAGCCUGCUGCACACCUUGGGGACAUGAAGUCAUCAACUACGACGCCGCCACUCCUCAGACCCCUGCCCCUAGUAUAACACUCCGGCGUGAACCGGCUCUGGCUGCUUUCUUGUGGGUGCUGAUCAGGAAAAAAUAGCCCACUGCACCUUGAGGAUUUGCUUUUUAUGUUUAUUAUUUUCUUUGCCCCGCCUGUAUAUCUGGGUUUGUGUGCGUGUGUGGAGCUGGCCACGUGGCUGGCACCCUUCGCCAAUUCGACGCGCUAGUUUUACACCCUUGUGCCUCACCCCUUAAGAAACGCAUAAACAGGCCGCAAACGAAACAUGUUGCGUUUUUUAUGUGGCCUACUAGAUCCAGGGGUUAGGGGUUGCGUUGGCUGCUGUCUUAGGUCAUCAAUAAUGGCGCAAACAUGCAUUAAAGACGCUUGCUUUACAUUAA